CAUGGCUAGUACUAGAGUCGGCUGUGGCGAGGCCUGCCGCCAAAACUUCAUUUCAUGGCUUUAUUUUAACUAGAGGGUAAGAUAUAACUGCGGAACUCUCUGAUUUUAAUAAUAAACAACGUAAAUAAAGAUCUAUGGAUAACUACGUCUGGUUGGUAUCUAUAGUACAUAACGUUAUGUAGAGAUGGCGCCACUUGGAGUAUAAUUGUGGCGUUCGAAGGUUCAAUAAUCACGUGGACGCUGAUUCUUUGGGGUUUAUAAAAUAUAUAUUUCUCGGUAGACCGUUACAUUUAACUAUCGCUAUUCAGUCUUUUUCUUUUGGACGUCCCUUAAACUAUAUCUUAUACCUAGAACGUAAACCUAAUGUGCCUAACUUAUAUGUACAUAGUUUGUGGCUAAAAAGGGGAAUCGCCUACAUAAUACAUAUAAAACUAAGUAGCGUAUUAUACUGUAGAAUACCAUGUAUAAUACAUUGUAUAAUAUCUCACGUAUAAUACGUGCUCAACCCUGGAGUGGAGUUUGGAGGGCCUGACCGACGGCGGUGACCUAAGGAAGUAUCAGAAGGCUAAAAUUUUAGUUGACAAAUAUUUAUGAAGGAUUAAAAUUGAUAGGUGUUAUUAUUAAUGUAGCAUUAAAGUGCUUGUAUUAGUUUAAAAUUAAUAAUAGAAUUAAACACGAAAAUUUGAAAUUAAGUUAUAUUAACCUACUAGAUACUGAAAAAUUGUUGACCAGAGUUUGAAAUUAUACAGUUUUAUAACUUUGUAUAAGAAGUAACAUUAAUUUUUAUAGACUUUCUAAAAUUAAUUCAUUAAUGUACGACAGUAAUAAAACAGUGAUGGUUUUAUAUUAGCCAUAAUUGAACUGUAUACCUACAAUUAUGGCAGCGAUAAGACAUACAUUACAAAGAGAAGUAUUCACACCUAGUGAUGAGAAAUUAUUAAGUAUAUGCUAUGUUAGUAAGGCAUAUAAAAAGAAAAAAACCAGUUUCUUAUGUUUAACUACAACAACAGAUACACCUUCAGCUUUACUUUUGUAUCAAGUAAAGAAAAAUGACAAAAAUAUAUUUAAAAAGAAGCAGUCAUGGUCAUUAAAUGAUAUUCAAACUGUAGAUGGAGUUAAAAAUGAUUCUAUGGAUAUAGAAUUUCAUAUAGAUAAAAUAUAUAAAUGGGCUGCAACAACAGCGCAAGAGCGCAAAACAUUUUUAAGCAAUUUAUAUACUUACUCUUGUAAUUUAGCACAAAGACCUCAAUUUAAAAAUAUUCCAAAAGAAUGGCUUAUAGAUCCCAGUUCUUUGAAAGAAAGCGACAGUAUUAGUUUUACACCAGAACUUCUUACAUCACCUAUUUCAUCCGAUUACCAACCAAUUACUGAAAAGGAAGCUAUUGAUUUGAAACAAAUGAUGGAAAACUGCAAAUAUGCAGUCUCUAAUGCUGAAUUAUUUAUGGAAAAUCUAUCUAAGGAUCUCUCAAUUCUAGAUGGGGAAAAUGUACAAUCAGUUUUGGCAUCGGAAACACGUGUAACUCAGUUGAUGAAUAGUAUAGAAGAAGCAAUAAUUGAAGCUUCAGUUGCUGAAGCUCGUCUUGCAACUUAUGAUGAAGCACUUGGAAGAAUCAGAGAGGUUAUGGCUCGUGUGGGCCAAAAAAAUCAAGCUAUUCAUACAGCUAACAGUAAUGCCAGACUUUUGUUAGAUCAAUUAAACACAGUAAUUUUACAACUAGAUAUUUUACCAACUCAUCAGCAUACUUUAAGUGAAGCUGAGCUUCCAGGAGACAAAGAAGAACUUAGUGAGGCAGGUGCUAUUCUUUUAAAAGCAGUAACUGCUUCUUUGCCACCAGGACUAGACAAAUUGAGUGCAGUCACAGAACAAAGAAGACGACUUGAUAAACUCAGAGCAAAAUUUUCCAUAAUUGUGGCCAGACAUCUAAAUAAUCUCUUCAUACAUUUGGGUAACGAUGUUGGGGAUAUGUCAAUGUCAAUAACUGAUUUAAUUCUUCCAACACAUCAAACAGUUCAUCAGGAACUUGAACCAUAUACUGAAUUGAUGCAGUUACUAAGAGCAUUAGAUAAUAAGGCUUUUGUGCAGUUAACCAAAGUUUAUACAGAUACAAUGAGUAAGUUGUACAAAAGAGAUUUAAAACGAUUUUUUGAAGAAGCUAAAAAUAAACUUAUUUGUAAACGUUUCCAAGCAAGCACAUCAAAAUCUAGUGGUCAAAAAACAGAAGAUUUAUUGAACCCAGCACCUAUUUGUCUAUUGAGUGGUGAAACAUGGGCACCUGUAGGAGAAGGAAAUCUUUUGGAUUCAGUUUUAGAUUGUAUGCUUUCGCAAAUGCAACCAGUUUGUCUUGCAGAACAAGCUUUCUGUAUUUUAUUCUUGCAAUUAGAUUCUGUUCUUUCCCCAUCAAAAAGUAGUGAAAUAGAAGAAACAGAUAAUAUUAGUAACGGAGCAGCAAGUCCUGAAUCAGUAACAUCUACUGCCAGUAAACGAUUAGAACGACAAGUUAACGAAGAAGUGCGUGCUACAAUGGCAGCCAUAUUUCCAUCAUUGGAAACUGAAUUAAAUAAUUUUAUCAAUUUUCUGGACAAAAUUGAUAGUUUUUGGUGUAUGUAUGUCUUAGUACGUUUAUCACAACAUGUUAUGUCAGCACAAGAUACUGGCUCUUUUUUAUCUAUGACGUUCGCUUCUGCUUUAAUUCAAGUUAAAAGAGCGUUUGACAAAUUCAUGCAAGCGCAAUUACAAUCAAUUCUAUGUGAUACAAAAGUUAAUCGUAGAAAUAAAUGUGGUAUAUUGCCAUAUGUAGAAAAUUUUGAGCCAUUUGCAAGAACAGCAGAAAAGAUUUUUAAGAAUUCAGAUAGAAAAGUUGACCUUGAAAAAUGGUAUACAAAAUUAGUGAGUACGAUGUUUGAAGCUAUUGUAAUUCACAGUAGAGAUCAUCAUAAAACUCCACAAGAAGUUAUUAAAAUGGAAAAUUUUCAUCAUUUGUAUGACCUUCUAUCACAAUUAAAAAUAUCUGUUCUUGAUCAUGAAAGGAAAGAAGCAAAACAAAAGUAUCAAGAUGCUCUACGUGCAUAUGUCACACAAUAUUUUGGAAGACCUCUAGAAAAACUUAAUGUGUGCAAGCUAAAGUUGGUGCUGGAGUUAAAGAAUCCGAAGUUAGUUAUCAAAUGGCUUUUAGUAAACAAGAGCUUAGGCGUGUUGUAAAAGAAUAUCCUGCUCGAGAAGUUAAAAAGGGUUUGGAAAAUUUGUACAGAAAAGUUGAGAAACAUCUGUGUGAAGAAGAAAACUUAUUACAGGUUGUUUGGCGUGAAAUGCAAGGUGAAUUUAUUGCACAGUAUAUAUACAUUGAAGAAUUAAUUCAACGAUGUUAUCCAGACAGUAUGGUAACACUUGAAUUUACUAUACAGGACAUUCUCGAAUUUUUUUCGGAAAUAGCGC